rnacentral:rRNA from 1 species
CGGCAGCAUGGAGAGCUUGCUCUCUGAUGGCGAGUGGCAAACGGGUGAGUAAUACAUCGGAACGUGCCCAGUAGUGGGGGAUAGCCCGGCGAAAGCCGGAUUAAUACCGCAUACGAUCUACGGAUGAAAGCGGGGGACCGCAAGGCCUCGCACUAUUGGAGUGGCCGAUGUCGGAUUAGCUAGUUGGUGGGGUAAUGGCUCACCAAGGCAACGACGGGUAGCCGGCCUGAGAGGGCGACCAGCCACACUGGGACUGAGACACGGCCCAGACUCC